rnacentral:rRNA from 1 species
AACGAACGCUGGCGGCAGGCUUAACACAUGCAAGUCGAACGCAUCCUUCGGGGUGAGUGGCAGACGGGUGAGUAACGCGUGGGAACGUGCCCUUCAGUUCGGGAUAACCCAGGGAAACUUGGGCUAAUACCGGAUACGUGCGAGAGCAGAAAGAUUUAUCGCUGAGGGAUCGGCCCGCGUCUGAUUAGCUAGUUGGUGGUGGAAUGGCCCACCAAGGCGACGAUCAGUAGCUGGUCUGAGAGGAUGAUCAGCCACAUUGGGACUGAGACACGGCCCAAACUCCUACGGGAGGCAGCAGUGGGGAAUAUUGGACAAUGGGCGCAAGCCUGAUCCAGCCAUGCCGCGUGAGUGAUGAAGGCCUUAGGGUUGUAAAGCUCUUUCGUCCGGGACGAUAAUGACGGUACCGGAAGAAGAAGCCCCGGCUAACUUCGUGCCAGCCGCCGCCGUAAAAC